GAAUCGCGGUGCGACGAAGGAGUAGGUGGUGGGAUCUCACCGUGGGUCCGAUUAGCCUUUUCUCUGCCUUGCUUGCUUGAGCUUCAGCGGAAUUCGAAAUGGUAAACUUCGCAGAGACGCUCGAUGACUCCGCGGGUUUUUGCCGGCGAGAGAAAAACCCGUUACACAGAGGGAUGGGGGUGAAGUGGCGACGGUUGGGAACGCGCGGAGACAGGAUUUAGAAGAGUGGGGGGAGGUGUUUUGUCGGCUGCUAGCGGAGCAGCCUCGGAUCUCGCGGCGGGCGGCGACGGUUGGGUGGCGCGCGCAGCGCCGCUGGGGGCCGGCGGGCGGAGGCGCGCGGCCGUGGCGAGCGCGCGGCGGGGGGCGAACGGGCGGGGUCGCCCCUGCGGCGCGCCGCGGGCCGGAGACCCCGGCAGGGUGCGGGGACGCGCUCGCGGCGGGACGCGCCGCGGUGGGGGAUGGGCGCGCCGCCUUGGUAAUUCUAUAUUCUCCGUUCCUCCUCCGCUCGCGGGCGUGUGCGCGCCGCAGGCUGGCGGUAAGGCUGGAAAGGACUCCGGAAAGGCCAAGACAAAGGCGGUUUCCCGCUCGCAGAGAGCCGGCUUGCAGUUCCCAGUGGGCCGUAUUCAUCGACACCUAAAAUCUAGGACGACCAGUCAUGGACGUGUGGGCGCGACUGCCGCUGUGUACAGCGCAGCCAUCCUGGAGUACCUCACCGCAGAGGUACUUGAACUGGCAGGAAAUGCAUCAAAAGACUUAAAGGUAAAGCGUAUUACCCCUCGUCACUUGCAACUUGCUAUUCGUGGAGAUGAAGAAUUGGAUUCUCUCAUCAAGGCUACAAUUGCUGGUGGUGGUGUCAUUCCACACAUCCACAAAUCUCUGAUUGGGAAGAAAGGACAACAGAAGACUGUCUAAAGGAUGCCUGGAUUCCUUGUUAUCUCAGGACUCUAAAUACUCUAACAGCUGUCCAGUGUUGGUGAUUCCAGUGGACUGUAUCUCUGUGAAAAACACAAUUUUGCCUUUUUGUAAUUCUAUUUGAGCAAGUUGGAAGUUUAAUUAGCUUUCCAACCAACCAAAUUUCUGCAUUCGAGUCUUAACCAUAUUUAAGUGUUACUGUGGCUUCAAAGAAGCUAUUGAUUCUGAAGUAGUGGGUUUUGAUUGAGUUGACUGUUUUUAAAAAACUGUUUGGAUUUUAAUUGUGAUGCAGAAGUUAUAGUAACAAACAUUUGGUUUUGUACAGACAUUAUUUCCACUCUG
rnacentral:lncRNA from 1 species